UACGUAGGGGGCAAGCGUUAUCCGGAUUUACUGGGUGUAAAGGGAGCGUAGACGGCAUGGCAAGUCAGAUGUGAAAGCCCGGGGCUCAACCCCGGGACUGCAUUUGAAGCUGUCAGGCUGGAGUGCAGGAGAGGUAAGUGGAAUUCCUAGUGUAGCGGUGAAAUGCGUAGAUAUUAGGAGGAACACCAGUGGCGAAGGCGGCUUACUGGACUGUAACUGACGUUGAGGCUCGAAAGCGUGGGGAGCAAACAGG
rnacentral:rRNA from 1 species